GUCUCUGUGGCGUAACGGCAGCCGCGCUAGUUUCAAAAGCUAGUCCUUUCGGGGGUGAGGGUUCGACUCCCUCCAGAGACA
rnacentral:tRNA from 1 species